CGUGCCUAAUACAUGCAAGUCGAACGAAUCUCUUUUAGAGAUGAGUGGCGAACGGGUGAGUAAUACAUAGGUAACCUGCCCCUGUGCGGGGGAUAACAGGAGGAAACUCCUGCUAAUACCGCAUAGCCAUGAGCACCGCAUGGAGCUCAUGCCAAAUAUCCUUUAUGGGAUAGCGCAGGGAUGGACCUAUGGCGCAUUAGCUGGUUGGCGGGGCAACGGCCCACCAAGGCAACGAUGCGUAGCCGGCCUGAGAGGGCGGACGGCCACAUUGGGACUGUGACACGGCCCAGACUCCUACGGGAGGCAGCAGUAGGGAAUUUUCGGCAAUGGGGGAAACCCUGACCGAGCAACGCCGCGUGAGCGAAGAAGGCCUUCGGGUCGUAAAGCUCUGUUGUAAAGGAAGAACGGCGCAUACAGGAAAUGGUAUGCGAGUGACGGUACUUUACCAGAAAGCCACGGCUAACUACGUGCCAGCAGCCGCGGUAAUACGUAGGUGGCGAGCGUUAUCCGGAAUCAUUGGGCGUAAAGAGGGAGCAGGCGGCCGCAAGGGUCUGUGGUGAAAGCCCGAAGCUAAACUUCGGUAAGCCAUGGAAACCGGGCGGCUAGAGUGCGGAAGAGGAUCGUGGAAUUCCAUGUGUAGCGGUGAAAUGCGUAGAUAUAUGGAGGAACACCAGUGGCGAAGGCGACGGUCUGGGCCGCAACUGACGCUCAUUCCCGAAAGCGUGGGGAGCAAAUAGGAUUAGAUACCCUAGUAGUCCACGCCGUAAACGAUGGUCACUAAGUGUCGGGGGUCAAACCCCGGUGCUGCAGUCAACGCAAUAAGUGACCCGCCUGAGUAGUACGUUCGCAA
rnacentral:rRNA from 1 species